rnacentral:piRNA from 1 species
UUCUGGCCUACAGGCAUACAUGU